CUCACAGGAGAAUAUCUAGGAGGAAGAGAAGAAUGGAAGAACCAAAAGUUGUACAGAGAUUGAACCUAGACAGCCUGGAAAAUGAGAAUUAUAAAAGUCAGAAAGGGACCUGGUUUUGUGAGAAAGGUGAUGAGUCAAGCUUGAAAGUGUUCAUUUUAUGAAAGCAUUGACGUGUUCAAGAGCAAUACAGGAUCAGAUGUUCGAUGUGGCCAUAUGAUGGAGUUACAGCCAAUGGGAUGUGAGUAGAGGUGAUGUGUGUGCAUCUAUUUCCUCUUCUGCUGCUAACCACUACACCCAGGAGCAGAAUAGACUAAAAGAGGGAAGGAUCCUGGAUCCCUGAACUCUGUCUUGGAGAUGAUUUACACACUGAUCAAUCAUCCAUUUUAAAAUAUGAAAUAUUAUGAAUGAGAAAUAUUUACUUCAUAUUUGAACCAAUAUGUGCUUUUUUGUUACAGUAGCUAAAAUUAGCUUAAAUUGUGUAUCUUUCUUAUAGAUUUUACAUUUUACUGUAAUUGUUUCUUAUAUUGAAAUGUGAGCUUUCAAAGGGAUUUAAAUUUUUUUAUCAUCCUAUGCAUAUUACAGUGACUGACUUACAGUAGGAUAUCAGAUUUCCUUUAUUAAUUAGUAAAGAUGAUGUUUUUAUUUCAUCAUUCACCUUUCAAUUUAUAGAGCACCUGCUGUAAAUAUCAUUUUACUUUCUUGUUCCAUAAAAAAGAGAACUGGAG
rnacentral:lncRNA from 10 species